GCAGUAGCCGCGGGAAUACGUAGGUGGCAAGCGUUGUCCGGAUUUAUUGGGCGUAAAGCGAGCGCAGGCGGUCAAUUAAGUCUGAUGUGAAAGCCCCCGGCUCAACCGGGGAGGGUCAUUGGAAACUGGUUGACUUGAGUGCAGAAGAGGAGAGUGGAAUUCCAUGUGUAGCGGUGAAAUGCGUAGAUAUAUGGAGGAACACCAGUGGCGAAGGCGACUCUCUGGUCUGUAACUGACGCUGAGGAGCGAAAGCGUGGGGAGCGAACAGGAUUAGAUACCCGCGUAGUCCCUGUCUCUUAUAC
rnacentral:rRNA from 1 species